CAGUAGCCACGGUAAUACGAAGGGGGCUAGCGUUGUUCGGAUUUACUGGGCGUAAAGCGCACGUAGGCGGAUCGGUCAGCCAGGGGUGAAAUCCCAGAGCUCAACUCUGGAACUGCCUUUGAUACUGUCGAUCUGGAGUAUGGAAGAGGUGAGUGGAAUUCCGAGUGUAGAGGUGAAAUUCGUAGAUAUUCGGAGGAACACCAGUGGCGAAGGCGGCUCACUGGUCCAUUACUGACGCUGAGGUGCGAAAGCGUGGGGAGCAAACAGGAUUAGAUACCCGUGUAGUCCCUGUCUCUUAUAC
rnacentral:rRNA from 1 species